rnacentral:rRNA from 1 species
UACGUAGGGUGCAAGCGUUGUCCGGAAUUAUUGGGCGUAAAGAGCUCGUAGGCGGUCUGUCGCGUCGGCUGUGAAAACCCGGAGUUCAACUCCGGGCCUGCAGUCGAUACGGGCAAACUGGAGUGUUGCAGGGGAGACUGGAAUUCCUGGUGUAGCGGUGAAAUGCGCAGAUAUCAGGAGGAACACCGGUGGCGAAGGCGGGUCUCUGGGCAACAACUGACGCUGAGGAGCGAAAGCGUGGGGAGCGAACAGG